rnacentral:lncRNA from 1 species
CGGAUACCUGGUUUCCUGCAGUGCUGACCCUGACCACGGCUCUUUUCCUGACGUGUCUGUAUGCUCUUGCCUGGUGCCUCUUCAAAGAUACUCCUGCUUCUUCAAGACUAUUCCCUCACCGUCACAGAUCAGGUCAGUCAAGUCUCACCACCGAGGAGCCUGGGCUGGUACCAAGGUAAAAGUAGAUUUGAUGUUUUGCA